rnacentral:ncRNA from 2 species
UUCUUAUCAAGAGAGGCGGAGGGACAAGGCCCGAUGAAGCCCGGCAACCGUUCCUGGUUGGAUGGAGGAUGCAAGCAUGCUGCUUGUCCUCUGUCCAAGGAAGACUGGUGCCAAUUCCUUCAGAAUGCAGCCCGGCAUGGA